UACGUAGGGUGCAAGCGUUAAUCGGAAUUACUGGGCGUAAAGCGUGCGCAGGCGGUUAUGUAAGACAGGUGUGAAAUCCCAGGGCUUAACCUUGGAACUGCAUUUGUGACUGCAUAGCUAGAGUACGGUAGAGGGGGAUGGAAUUCCGCGUGUAGCAGUGAAAUGCGUAGAUAUGCGGAGGAACACCGAUGGCGAAGGCAAUCCCCUGGACCUGUACUGACGCUCAUGCACGAAAGCGUGGGGGAGCAAACAGG
rnacentral:rRNA from 1 species